rnacentral:lncRNA from 1 species
GUUGGGUAGCAGAGAACUGAAGUCACUCACACCCAAGCAGGGUGAUCAGACACUGGUUAAAAUUUAUACAAGAUCGAGAACCGUCACAGAUAGGAAAACAUAGGUGGGUCUGGUUGGUCUGAAUAUUCGUCAUGCAUUCACUUGCACCAGAUACAUCUUCCCACCUGAUGAAAUGAUCCAGACGACUAUCAAAAUGCCAAAUGAGGCAGAAGGGAAGAAAAGUCCACAAUUUCCAGGUAUAAAUAAACUCAAAGGACUGUUUGGAAAAGUAAGUGCAUCUCCUAACUUACCAACAACACCAACAUUAAGUACAAGAGAAGCACACAAAACAUCUUCAAACCGUAUCACCGAAAGCAGAAGGAAGCCAUAUCUUCCAAU